CCUAUUUUAUUUUUUUUCCUAAACCUUUUUUUUUGUGAUAACCUUGAAGUACGCUUAAAUUCCCUUUUAUACUUACGUUUUUUUUGCUAUGAGCAUUCUGUUAUAAUCAAUAAGUUUUAAUUUGAAUUUCAAAAUGUUCUAGUUGUUCGGAUUGUGGGUGCCAUGUCUCGUCGUAGUAUGGAAGUAGGGUAGAGUGUUAGGUCGUUCAAGGGAUCAUCGGCCUCUCUUUUGGUCUUGCUGUAGGGUGGGCAAUCAGCUGUCGUAGCAACACCAGCGCAGCAGUAGAACAGCUAAAACCCACUCAGCUUUUGCAACAACAUCUUGCAGUGUCAUAACUAUUCAAUUUUAUGUGGUUUCCUAUACUUUCUGUCUGUCCGAUCGAACCUGUGUUUGGCCUAAACCAGCACGCGAAUUUUAAUGUAAUUAUGUAUGUACAAAGCGAGCAGGUAGCACAGGGGUCUUUUUCAACAGAGGGUAUUCCAGAUACAAGGUCAAACAAAAUUAUUCUAUACCAGGCUAGAAACAUCAAAGAUCUAAAGCUACAAAUUGAGGCAUAUCAAAAAUAUCGUGUUUCUUCUAAGCCGCCAAGCAAGUAUGGUGGGCCGAUCAGCAAGGUUGGAAAUGAGAUAGGAAAAGAAGUGGCAGCUGGAUCUAGUAGGAAGUGUUUCAGGUGUGGAGACUCUUCACAUAUAAAGAGAGAUUGUCCGGUGAGGGAGAAAUGUUUUAAAUGUGAUCAGCCAGGACAUCGAGCAGAAAAAGUUAAGACAGAGAGAGAAACCAAUGCAGUUAAAGACAGAAAAGUCGUUUCAAAACCAUCACCACCCUUUUAUUCGAGACUGGAACAGAAAUAAGUGAUUUGCAUGAAUACUGUAUUUUGUUUGAUGCGUAGGAGUGUUUUUUGGAAACUAGGCGUAGGCGUGGACAGUCUGAUAGGUCGCCAGAACGUUUUAACAGGGAUCGGUGAAAGUCAGGUCUUGACUUUUGGUAGUUUCGAUGCAAAGGUCACUAUCGAUGGUAUUGACAUGUCGAUCGAAUUUCCUGGUAUUCCUGAUGGGGAUAUGAAGUACGAUGCAAUUUUGGGCACAACGUUCCUAGACAACGUCGAUAUGAUGGUAACCAAGAACGGCACUACAUUUUCGCCAAGGGUUCGUCGUGUAGAAAAAGGUGUUGAGUUAGGAACAGAGGAUGGUCAGUUAGGGCAGAGUUCCUGUGUGCAGCUGAUGAGCGAGUUUGAGAGCCUGUGCAUGUUAAGCAUGUAAGACUAUGAGGAGAAACCUUUCUUAGAUUUAGUUCAUUUGAGUCAGAAGGUCGCAUCUGAAGUGAAGCUUAUGAUCGAUAACUAUGAGCAAAAGAGAGAUUUCUCCAGUAGAGAUGAAGUUCUUGUUGACAGAUGAGUUACCGGUAUAUCAACAUCCGAGACGGACCCUAGAUUUGACAAAUGGUUUCUUUCACGUUCCUGUUUCGCCAGAAUCCCAAAAGUAUAAAUCUUUAGUAAGUCAGAAUGGACAGUAUGAGUUUCUGUUUGUACCUUUCGGUAUCACGAACUCUCCAGCAGUAUUUACGAGGUUUAUCCUGGCGGUCAUGCGUGAUUUAAUCAAGAAUGAGGAUGCGGUUGUAUACAUGGAUGACGUGAUCAUUACUAGUCAGAAUAUCGAUGAGGGCGUGCUGAAAUUGAAAAAGGUUUUAGAAGUAGCGGAGAGGAAUGGCUUACGUAUUAAUUGGAGUAAGUGUCAGGUUUUGAAGAGUAAGGUCAAUUUCUUGGGGUAUGUCGUAGAAAAAGGCACUAUCAAACAAGGGGAGGAGAAAACUCAAGCAGUUGCUGAUUUUCCGAUUCCGCGCGAUAAGAAAGGAAUACAAAGAUUUUUAGGACUGACGUCAUACUUUCGUAGGUUUGUGGACGGAUAUGUUGUAAUUGCCAAACCGCUGUCUGAUUUGUUGCGUAAAGAGGUAUAGUUCGAAUUGCAGGAAAAACAUUUAACGGCAUUUGAGAAAUUAAAGGGAGCGUUGAUUAGUGGACUAGUUUUGAAGAUUUAUGAUCAUCCGCUGGAAACGGAGAUUCAGGUGAUAAUUUGUGGCAUCCAGUUUUCUACAUGAGUCUUAAAACAAAGCCUUGUGAGGAGAUGUAUCAUUCUUAUGAACUAGAAGUGCUUGCGGUAAAGAGGCGAGUGUACGUCCUAGGGAAAAAUUUCAAGAUAGUUACAGACUGUAACACUUUUGCCAUGACCAUGAAGAAGAAAAAUGGGCAAUGUAUCUCCAAGACUUCGACUAUGAAAUAGAGCACAAAUCCGGUUCUAAAAUGAGACAUGUCGAUGCGUUGAGAAGGGUAUUGUGUCAUGUUCUAACUGAUAGUUUGCUACACCGUUUGAGGGAGACAUAGCAGUUAGACGAAUGGACGAAGGUGGUCAAAAGUGUGGUCGAGACCAAAGGAUAUGAAGAUUUCUAUGUAUCGAAACAAGUUCAAAGAUCCCAAUAAAGAGUUGCUAGUGGUACCUUCGGUCAUGGAAAACGAGAUCAUUAAGAUCAAUCACAAGCAAGGUCACUUUUCUUGUAAAAAGACUCAGGAUUUGAUCGAGAAGUCAUAUUAUAUUCCCAAGCUCAAGGAGAAAGUAGCGUGAGUAGUUAAUAGCUGUGUAGAGUGCAUUCUAGUUAAUGCAAAGGCAGGUCGGCAAGAGGGUUCCUCACACCGAUAGACAAAGGGGAUAAGCCGCUGGUAACCUACCAUGUUGAUCAUGUUGGCCCUAUGGAGUUGACGAAAAAACGAUAUAAUCACAUUUUCGUGAUUGUAGAUGCCUUGUCCAAGUACGCGUGGUUGUAUAAUACUCGAAGCACAGGAGUAGAAGAAGUUAUUAGCUGUUUGGAGCGUCAGGCUGUUUUCUUUAGAAACACAUAUAGGGUCGUUUCAGAUCGCGGAGCUGAGUUCACUUCGCAUCUGUUUAAGGCGUUUUGCGAUAGGGAGAAGACACAACAUUUGUUAAUUGCAACAGGCGUACCCAGGGGAAAUGGACAAGUCGAGCGUAUUCAUAAAAAGUAGUCCCAAUGUCAUCGAAAGUCAGUCAUAAAAGUCCGGGGUGCUGGUAUAAGCAUGUCGGUAAGAUACAACAGAUCAUCAAUAAUACCGAGCCGAGGAGUACCAAGGUUUCGCCAUUUAAAUUACUGACUGGUUUAGAUAUGCGUAUUCCAGGUGAUGUGCAGCUCAGAGA
rnacentral:lncRNA from 1 species